rnacentral:tRNA from 1 species
GCGGGGGUUGCCGAGCCAGGUUAAAGGCGCCAGUCGCGGGAUCUGGUCUCGAAGGAGUUCGGGGGUUCAAAUCCCCUCCCCCGCACCA